AUUUUCAAAGCUUAUAAGGUAAAGCGCUGGCUUCUGAGCCGGGGGUUCCGUGUUCGAAUCUUGGUGAAGACU
rnacentral:tRNA from 1 species